AGAGUUUGAUCCUGGCUCAGAACGAACGCUGGCGGCAUGCCUAACACAUGCAAGUCGAACGCUCAGGAGGGUUUCGGCUCUUUUGGGAGUGGCGCACGGGUGAGUAGCGCGUGGGAACCUGCCUUUCAGUGGGGGAUAACCGCGGGAAACUGCGGCUAAUACCGCAUACGUCCCGGUGAGUGAUCUUAGGAUUGGUCACC
rnacentral:rRNA from 1 species